UGGGGAAUUUUGGACAAUGGGCGAAAGCCUGAUCCAGCCAUGCCGCGUGCAGGAUGAAGGCCUUCGGGUUGUAAACUGCUUUUGUACGGAACGAAAAGACUCCUUCUAAUAAAGGGGGUCCAUGACGGUACCGUAAGAAUAAGCACCGGCUAACUACGUGCCAGCAGCCGCGGUAAUACGUAGGGUGCAAGCGUUAAUCGGAAUUACUGGGCGUAAAGCGUGCGCAGGCGGUUAUAUAAGACAGAUGUGAAAUCCCCGGGCUCAACCUGGGAACUGCAUUUGUGACUGUAUAGCUAGAGUACGGUAGAGGGGGAUGGAAUUCCGCGUGUAGCAGUGAAAUGCGUAGAUAUGCGGAGGAACACCGAUGGCGAAGGCAAUCCCCUGGACCUGUACUGACGCUCAUGCACGAAAGCGUGGGGAGCAAACAGGAUUAGAUACCCAAGUAGUCCCUGAGCGGGCUGGCAAGGCGCAU
rnacentral:rRNA from 1 species